rnacentral:rRNA from 1 species
CCUACGGGUCGCAGCAGUGGGGAAUAUUGCACAAUGGGCGCAAGCCUGAUGCAGCCAUGCCGCGUGUAUGAAGAAGGCCUUCGGGUUGUAAAGUACUUUCAGUGGGGAGGAAGGCGAUAAGUUUAAUAACCUUGUCGAUUGACGUUACCCGCAGAAGAAGCACCGGCUAACUCCGUGCCAGCAGCCGCGGUAAUACGGAGGGUGCAAGCGUUAAUCGGAAUUACUGGGCGUAAAGCGCACGCAGGCGGUCUGUCAAGUCGGAUGUGAAAUCCCCGGGCUCAACCUGGGAACUGCAUUCGAAACUGGCAGGCUAGAGUCUUGUAGAGGGGGGUAGAAUUCCAGGUGUAGCGGUGAAAUGCGUAGAGAUCUGGAGGAAUACCGGUGGCGAAGGCGGCCCCCUGGACAAAGACUGACGCUCAGGUGCGAAAGCGUGGGGAGCAAACAGGAUUAGAUACCCGCGUAGUC